UACAGAGGGGGGCAAGCGUUGUUCGGAAUUACUGGGCGUAAAGGGCGCGUAGGUGGCCCGCUAAGUCGAACGUGAGAUCCCCGAGCUCAACUCGGGAACUGCGUCCGAUACUGGUGGGCUUGAAUCCGGGAGAGGGAUGCGGAAUUCCCGGUGUAGCGGUGAAAUGUGUAGAGAUCGGGAGGAACACCGGUGGCGAAGGCGGGUCUCUGGGCAGUAACUGACGCUGAGGAGCGAAAGCGUGGGGAGCGAACAGG
rnacentral:rRNA from 1 species